UACGUAGGGGGCAAGCGUUGUCCGGAAUCAUUGGGCGUAAAGAGCGUGUAGGCGGCCCGAUAAGUCCGCCGUGAAAGUCCAGGGCUCAACCCUGGGAUGCCGGUGGAAACUGUCGGGCUAGAGUCCGGAAGAGGCGAGUGGAAUUCCUGGUGUAGCGGUGAAAUGCGUAGAUAUCUGGAGGAACACCGAUGGCGAAGGCAGGUCUCUGGGCCACUACUGACGCUGAGGAGCGAAAGCAUGGGGAGCGAACAGG
rnacentral:rRNA from 1 species